UCUUGCAUUUUCAUCCUUGUAGUCAUCUAUGCAAUAGCACCUUUGCUCUACUGGCUGCCCAUGUGUGUUCUUGCAAGCAUUAUUGUUGUGGGACUGAAGGGAAUGCUAAUACAAUUCCGGGAUUUAAAAAAGUACUGGAAUGUGGAUAAAAUUGAUUGGGGCAUAUGGGUCAGUACAUAUGUAUUUACAAUAUGCUUUGCUGCCAAUGUGGGGCUGCUGUUUGGUGUUGUCUGUACCAUAGCUAU